CCGAUGAGGUGGAAACGGACAGAGCUGGCGUAUCUGGCCUGCAUUCAGCCGCCGCGCGUCGGGCCCCGGUUUGCCGCACUCCAGAUUGGGAAGGUGGCUGGGCUGCUGGCGUGUCGGUGGUGCAUUUGCAGGUGGAGUGCGCCAAGGGGGGAGGCUCAGCGGCAUGAGCUCGGCUUUGAGGCCAACCGCGCAAGCGGUCUGGUACCCGGGUCGGGGGAGUGUUGUUUGGGCUGAGUGUUCGCUUGGGCACUGGUUUCGGGCCCGGGUGGGUGCCGAGCUGGCGGUGGACGGCGGUCGCGUGCGACACAUGUCUUCAGUCAGUUCGGUCCUGCUCGAGCUCUCGCGUGUCCGGCCUCGGUGUAAAAGCCGGUCAUCUGUCCGACCCGUCUUGAAACACGGACCAAGGAGUUUAGCGUGUGCGCGAGUCAUUGGGCGUUAAAAACCCAAAGGCGCAAUGAAAGUGAAGGUCUGCCUUGUGCAGCUGAAGUGUGAUCCUGGGCGCCGCGAUGCCCGGGCGCCACAUAUUCCCGACCCGACUGCAUGCAGUGGGGCGGAGACAGAGCGUACGCGCUGAG
rnacentral:rRNA from 1 species